ACCCUGAUCCAGCAAUGCCGCGUGAGUGAAGAAGGCCUUCGGGUUGUAAAGCUCUUUUGUCAGGGAAGAAAAGGGUACGGCUAAUAUCCGUACCUCAUGACGGUACCUGAAGAAUAAGCACCGGCUAACUACGUGCCAGCAGCCGCGGUAAUACGUAGGGUGCAAGCGUUAAUCGGAAUUACUGGGCGUAAAGCGUGCGCAGGCGGUUUUGUAAGUCUGUUGUGAAAUCCCCGGGCUUAACCUGGGAAUGGCAAUGGAGACUGCAAGGCUAGAGUUUGGCAGAGGGGGGUAGAAUUCCACGUGUAGCAGUGAAAUGCGUAGAGAUGUGGAGGAACACCGAUGGCGAAGGCAGCCCCCUGGGUCAAGACUGACGCUCAUGCACGAAAGCGUGGGGAGCAAACAGGAUUAGAUACCCUGGUAGUCCACGCCCUAAACGAUGUCUACUAGUUGUUGGGUCUUAAUUGACUUAGUAACGCAGCUAACGCGUGAAGUAGACCGCCUGGGGAGUACG
rnacentral:rRNA from 1 species